rnacentral:rRNA from 1 species
UGCACCUCUUUUUCUAAUCGGUUAAGGGUCUUAGGAUAUUUGGGGUUAAGCGUCCUUGGGUUUGAAUAGUACUAGGCUGGGUGACCUCCCGGGAAGUCCAAAUACAGGAGCGU